CUCUCAGGGUGCAGCUAUAUGAUCUGGAGAUGAGAAGUUGCCUUCCCCACCACCCAAGUAUUUCUUAAGAAUCCCAGGGUCUAGCACAUUGUUUUUGAAGCUCGUUUCCCAAGGUUUACGUUAGUCAGGUCUCCUGAGAGAUGUUACACAUGUUUCCACAAUACAUAAACAUUUGCACUUUUAAUACAAUGAACUGUUAGGAAAUGUUCAGACGACACUCUGAGAUCCUCCAGUGCUGUGGAUGAUUUUAUAAUAAGAGGACAGUGAAGUGAGAAGCAGAGUAGGGGUUGGCAGCACCAGUCAGUGUUGCUAAUGCAAUUGGUAUUGAGCGAGUUGCCAGCCUCAGAGUCAGUAUUAGGGGCAGCCAGCAUCCUUUCCUGAGACAGUGCCUGUAGUCUAAUACCAGUCUUUUUUAGGACUGCCAUGGUAUUCACUCCAGGUCAAAAAGUCCCCUUACACUGGGGUGAGGUGUGACCAUAGCCUCUUCAAGCUUGCACCUGUUGGGGGAGGAACAAUGCUCCUUCCUACCACUCUGAUGGUUUAGAAUAGGACCUGGCAAUCUUGCCAGGAUCACCUUGAAGAAAGGAGCAACAGUUCACUAGAGCACUCUAGGACCCAGAGUGUUCAAAAUGGAGAAGAGGAUUAGCUUGCUUGCCAGGUAUGAGACAAACAUCAAUGAUCUAGAAGAAAAAAUUGAGGUGGGUGUCACUAGCCUUCUGUGUCCUCUUUGAAAGAUUUUCAAUUAUAUGUCCAUUACCCAAGGAAAAAAAAAAAUCUUGUGGCAAUUUUUAAGCAGCAUGGCUAUUUCACAAUAAGGCCAGUUUUUAAAGCUGGGAUAAAGUUUUAACCGAGUCCUACUAUAAGGGAAAAGUUUCUUCUGGAGCAAAGAAAUUUUAAAAAAAAAAGUCUAAAUGCUAGUUGGCGCACACAUUCUACACUACCAAGCCUAACAUAUCUCAUGUGCUGUAAUGCUGGGGGUUGAAUGAAGCUUGUGAAACAGCCACCCUUCAUUCAGGAUAAAUAUAAGAAAUUAAGAUCCUUUAUGGCAGGGGUGGAGAACCUUUUUUCUAUCAGGGGUCAUUGGCCCACAGAAAAAAAAAAAUCAAAUCACAGGCUACACAUACAUAAAAAGCAACUUAAUUUAGGGUUGUUUUUUUUUUGUUUUGUUUUUUUUGAGAGAGAGAGGGAAAUAUAGAACAUUCCAUAGGGCAGGGGUUAGGAACCUACAGGCCAGAUGAAAUUUAGCAAUGGGCUAGAUAUAGCCCAUGGGCCAUAUAUUACCCACCCCUGCUUUAUGGAAUAAAAUAGCUAAAACAAUAGGAGCCACUGCCUGAAACACAUGCCACAUGCAAGGCUAGUCAGGCAUCUAAGCUACGUGGGUGGAAGUUUCACUGGGGAUUGAAUGCAAACUAAGUGCUGGGUAUUGCUGGAUGGAAUUGUGGGGAUGCGUGUAAAAAGCAGCUGAGAAAAACCACAGAAGGCAGCAAGGAAGCACCAGGGUCACAGGAGCAUAUCUAAUAUGACUGCAUAUUGUGAAAAAGCUAAGAGCUUUUGUGUAGUCUCCUAGCUGGAAAGUGUCUUUGAACAGCGAGCAAAAAAAAGUCUCCUGUUUGUUUACAAAGAACAUCCAAAGUCCUCCUCUCAUGAAAAGAGAGCUGCAUCAAAAAAAAUACCUGACUCCAUCUCAGUUUCUCCUGCUAAUGGAAACAGCCCUGAAGAUCCCUAAAGAUGGCUAACUACGCAGUAUUACUAUCCCUUUUGAUCUAUAUCCAGAGAUUUUGGGGAAGUACUUCAAGGUGUAGACAUUGCUGAGGUUCUGCCCUGCUGCCACAGGCAUCUUAAAUAGAUCUCAACUUCUUAGAGGGAAGAGAGUAAGAAACAAAAGUUACUGAGCCAAAACCUCAGAGACUAAGUCACUGAAUACUCUGCUCAAGGAGGAUUUUAAUAAUCCUUAACAAACAGUGACAAAUACAACUCAACAGGCAUGAAAGUAGUUCCUCAUUUUACAUAGAAGACAGCUUUCUGAUCCAGAAGUAGGGACUCCAGAUCAUCUGUUCUUUAUCUUUUUUUUUAUAAUCAUAAUGAGCAUAAAGGAUCUGAUUACGAAAAGGAGGAAGAUUGGAGGUUGUGACCAUGAGCUACUUGAAUUCAGCAUAUUAAGAAACUGGAGGAAGUGUUAGUUUUUCUGAAAAAAUAAAAUGGAAGAAGUCAGCAAGUUGAGUGCUUCUCUGUGAAACUACAAAACCUGAUGCUGAAAGAAAAUCCUCUGAGAAACAUGAACAGGAAGCAAUAGUUACAAUUGUAUCUUUAAUUUUCAGCAAAGAGACAGACUGCAAAAUGAGUUAAUGAUAGUCAGGGUGGAGGUUUAAAAAGAAGUACUAAGGAGAAUGUGUGGCCUUUAAUAAAUCAGAGGAUGAAAUGAAUGACUUAAAAUAGCUGAUAAACUCUUGUGAAUCUGUUUUCCAGAACAAGUAGGACAGUGAACAAUAUAUAAAGAAAGGAAAUUCCAAAUUAUAAUCCAAUCUAAUUUUAUCAAUAGCUUUUAAACAUCUUAGGACUGGAGCACAGCAAUUUAGCAGACUGGGACAUUUACUUACCCAACUAGUCCAGGUGACACAUUCUAGAGCAACAGCUAUCAAAGUUACUGUAGCAAGUGUUUUCAAGACGACGAAGAAGGGUGUUACUGAAAUAUUUUUUAAAAAAUCAAUUUCAGAUUUUUAAAAGGAAGGCAAGUGGCAGGUCACUCCACCAUGUAAAAUAACUUCCAUCCCAGUUAAAAUAAUUGAAAAAUAGGGGUGGGGGAAUCGUAACUAAACAUAGAAUCAUAGAGACACAGUAUUAGAAGGGACCACAAGGGUCAUUUAGUCUAACCCCCCGCCAAAGAUGCAGGAUUUGUCGUGUCUAAAUCAUCCAAGACAGAUGGCUAUCCAGAAUACAAUAUAUAUUAGAACCCAGGGCAGAAAAUAUUCAACAAGGGAAAAAAGCAAGGUGAUAAUUCAGGGAAAAUACAAAGGAGAAAUCUAGGUCACUCCCAAUUUCCUACGAAUGAAAUAAACAGGAAGUUAAAUUCAGAAAUCUUGAUUCUCCACUGCUUUGCACCUUGCAUAAUCUAUACAUCUGUGUGAAGUAAAAUAUGAAGAGACCAAAAUUGCUUUUCCUACAAUCGGUCUGGCCUGGCCCUUGCAAUUGUAUCUUCCAAAGGCCAACUUUGCUGCUAUCACCUAUACUAGUCAUCUCAGAACUGCCAGAAGCACUUGAGCUGGAGUCCACAAUGGAUAGGGAAGGGGGCUGCCGGAAGGGUAUUCCCUUGGAGAGGCAUGCACUUCUGGAAUACGCUCCUCUCUGCCAAACAAUCUGAACUGGUUAACACUUAGGAUAGAUUACAAAUCCCAUCUAUUUUCUCAAGCCAUUAGGCAGAGAAAGAUGAAGUUUAGAACUGUGGGAAGUGAAUCUUUGAUCUUUAGCUCUCGUUAUUCAUCUUGGCUACAUAAUGGGAGGAAGCUAAAGGAUCUGUGAAUGUAUUUUUUUUGAAUAUGGUUUUAAUGUCAAAAGGUUCCUAGGAGGUGUUUAUGGACAAAAUUAAAGUACAUAAGCAGGUUGGCAUUCUGUUUACUAACUCAAUUCAGGUAAAAUCUUAUUGCCAAAAUUCCUUUUUCCACUGUCAGCCCCAUGAUCCUGAAAAUGCUGAACAAGUGUUUGGAUUAGUUGUAUUUAAGACAUCUUUUUUUUUUUUUUUUUUUUUUAAAAAAGAGGGAGGUAUUUUCUCCCACACCCUACAUCCAAGACUUCUUACCUAGAUUAUAGAAAUAAAUCAAAUACAACAGACAAUGAACACGUUUAAAUAAAAUCUUUAUUUGCUUAUUUACAACGAAGGCAAUGAAUCAGCAUAUUGAAAGUGUGAUUUGCUCUCUUUUCUAACAAUGUCAAAUACAUUAAGUACAUACUCCACUUCGGCUAUAAAAUAUGCAGCCUAGUGAAUAAGGCAAAAUAUUUACAUAACACUAGUACUGCAAAAAGCACUUUUAAGAUGAAUUCACUGCAAGAGAAAGAAUUAAAAAU